rnacentral:misc_RNA from 1 species
ACGAGUUUCUUUCGGUUUAACCACCGAAAACUCCCACCCUUGUGUAUUUUCGCUGAAAAGCAGCUUCGGCGGGCCGUCUUAAGUCACUAGCGAUAGGGACUGGACAUCGGCUCUGUGCGGAUUUGUGUCCGCCGAAGAACCAACUCUUUACAAUUUGAAGUCUGAUAAAACAAAGAAAAUAAAUCA